GAUGAACGCUAGCGAUAGGCCUAACACAUGCAAGUCGAGGGGCAUCACAUGAAGUAGCAAUACGGAUGGUGGCGACCGGCGCACGGGUGAGUAACACGUAUGCAACCUGCCUUCAACAAGGGGAUAACCCGUUGAAAGACGGACUAAUACCCUAUAACACAGGGGUCCCGCAUGGGAAUAUUUGUUAAAGGACAACCGGUUGAAGAUGGGCAUGCGUUCCAUUAGCUAGUUGGCGGGGUAACGGCCCACCAAGGCAACGAUGGAUAGGGGAACUGAGAGGUUUAUCCCCCACACUGGUACUGAGACACGGACCAGACUCCUACGGGAGGCAGCAGUGAGGAAUAUUGGACAAUGGACGCAAGUCUGAACCAGCCACGUCGCGUGAAGGAAGACGGCCCUACGGGUUGUAAACUUCUUUUAUACGGGAAUAAAGUGCCCCACGCGUGGGGUUUUGCAUGUACCGUAUGAAUAAGGAUCGCUAACUCCGUG
rnacentral:rRNA from 1 species